GAUCAACCAUGUUCUGACCCAAAAGCUCCAUGAUUUUGGCACACACCGUGGACUAGCAAGAGAAAAACAGCAGUUAUAGGUUUACAUGCAUCAAAAAGCCAAAGCCAGCCGUAUGCAUCAGUUUCCAUCAUGCAUGCAGUGUCUCGUACCUUUCCACUGGCUGUUCCUCCGCUCACCCCGAUCAGGAAAGGACGGUGACGCGGCCGCUCGCUUUCACACAACAGUCCGGCUGGAUUCAUGCUGGUCAGAAAACCAGUUCAGAUUAUCAGCGAUGACGUGAUGGUUGUUGCAUCCAGGACACGUUACUAUGACGACACCCUUGUGAUACGCU